rnacentral:lncRNA from 1 species
GUUGAACUUGGGCAAUGUGUUGCACUACAUAUUGAAGUUCCUGGUUUAAAGCGACCGUUUAAAUGGUUUAGUAAGUGUGGGAAGUUUGAGUGUGACACUACAUGCGCCAAUGGCUCUGAUUUUAGACUGACACAAAAUGUCAACACCUGUACUCUUUGGAUUGGAAAUGUGACUUCAGAAUGUCUGAAAUGGUAUUUUGAAGAUUCUGUCUUGAAUACAGGGUGUAUUAAGUUGCAAAUAUAUGAUAAGAAAACAGAAACCAGCAUGACCACCCCUGCCCGUGUUGUCACAGCUGGCCUUGUCAUAGCCGGUGUUGUCACAGCUGGCCUUGUCAUAGCCUAGUUUAUUGUCUACAAGUUUCUUGAGAAAAAAUACCAGAAACCUUUAACUGACAGUCUCAACAUCGCAGCAUUGAACAUUGACAGCACCAGGUUCCAAUCUGAUCCGGAUGCCCUUUCAGAGUGUCAGGUAGAGGACCAGUCAGGAGGUAUUGGCAAUGGCCAUCAAAUGGAAAAGAACUGUAUUUUUCAAGUUUACGAGACUUAGAAUUUCUUCAGUAAUAUAGUCUGGUUUCAUUAAACAUCUCUAACAUUGUUUAUCAACAUAUUAAUGUGAUUUCAUCAUCAUCAUCAUCAUCAUCA